rnacentral:rRNA from 1 species
UGGGGAAUAUUGGACAAUGGGCGCAAGCCUGAUCCAGCCAUACCGCGUGGGUGAAGAAGGCCUUCGGGUUGUAAAGCCCUUUUGUUGGGAAAGAAAAGCAGCUGGUUAAUACCCGGUUGUUCUGACGGUACCCAAAGAAUAAGCACCGGCUAACUUCGUGCCAGCAGCCGCGGUAAUCCGAAGGGUGCAAGCGUUACUCGGAAUUACUGGGCGUAAAGCGUGCGUAGGUGGUUGUUUAAGUCUGUCGUGAAAGCCCUGGUCUCAACCGGGGAAGUGCGAUGGAAACUGGGCGACUAGAGUGUGGCAGAGAAUAGUGGAAUUCCUGGUGUAGCAGUGAAAUGCGUAGAGAUCAGGAGGAACAUCCGUGGCGAAGGCGACUGUCUGGGCCAACACUGACACUGAGGCACGAAAGCGUGGGGAGCAAACAGG